rnacentral:rRNA from 1 species
AUGUGGCAGAAGUUGGAGUCUAUGUAUGAGAGGAAGACAUCAAUGAACAAAGCAUCGGUGAUCAAAAGACUUGCAAAGCUUGAGUACCGAGAUGGCACAAGUGUGAUUCGGCACUUAAAUGUCUUCCAAUGCCAUAUAAAUCAACUGUCAGCCAUGAAGAUCAACAUUGAGGAUGAGGUGCAAGCAUUGUUGCUGCUGAGUUCCAUGCCACAUAGUUGGAACACGCUUGCUGUGUCACUUAGCAAUUCAACUCCGGAUGGGAAGCUGACUUUUGGAGAUGGUGAAAAACAGUAUGCUGAAUGA